rnacentral:rRNA from 1 species
CUACGGGUUGCUCCAGUGAGGAAUAUCGCACAAUGGGGGGAACCCUGAUGCAGCAACGCCGCGUGGAGGAUGACGCAUUUCGGUGUGUAAACUCCUUUUAUAUGUCAAGAAAAUGACGGUAGCAUAUGAAUAAGCACCGGCUAACUCCGUGCCAGCAGCCGCGGUAAUAAGGAGGGUGCAAGCGUUACUCGGAAUCACUGGGCGUAGAGGACGCGUGGGCGGGUUGGAAAGUCAGGUGUGAAAUCCUACAGCUUAACUGUAGAACUGCACUUGAAACUUCUAAUCUAGAGUAUGGGAGGGGGAGAUGGAAUUAGUGGUGUAGGGGUAAAAUCCGUAGAUAUCACUAGGAAUACCUAAAGCGAAGGCGAUCUCCUGGAACAUUACUGACGCUAAGGCGUGAAAGCGUGGGGAGCAAACAGGAUUAGAUACCCUCGUAGUC